AGUGACGGCUCGAGCAGGUACGAAAGUAGGUCAUAGUGAUCCGGUGGUUCUGAAUGGAAGGGCCAUCGCUCAACGGAUAAAAGGUACUCCGGGGAUAACAGGCUGAUACCGCCCAAGAGUUCAUAUCGACGGCGGUGUUUGGCACCUCGAUGUCGGCUCAUCACAUCCUGGGGCUGAAGUAGGUCCCAAGGGUACGGCUGUUCGCCGUUUAAAGUGGUACGCGAGCUGGGUUUAGAACGUCGUGAGACAGUUCGGUCCCUAUCUGCCAUGGGCGUAGGAAAAUUGAGAGGGUUUGCUUCUAGUACGAGAGGACCGAAGUGAACGCACCGCUGGUGUACGGGUUGUGAUGCCAAUUGCAUUGCCCGGUAGCUACGUGCGGAAUAGAUAAGUGCUGAAAGCAUCUAAGUACGAAACUAGCCUCGAGAUGAGUUUUCCCUGAUGAGAAUCAGUAAGGUCCGUUUGAGACUAAGACGUAGAUAGGUCAGGUGUGUAAGUGUAGUGAUACAUUGAGCUAACUGAUACUAAUGAACCGAGAGUCUUAACCUUACAACUC
rnacentral:rRNA from 1 species